UAAAGAAAGCGUAAUAGCUCACUGGUCGAGUCGGCCUGCGCGGAAGAUGUAACGGGGCUAAACCAUGCACCGAAGCUGCGGCAGCGACGCUGAUGCGUUGUUGGGUAGGGGAGCGUUCUGUAAGCCUGUGAAGGUGUGCUGUGAGGCAUGCUGGAGGUAUCAGAAGUGCGAAUGCUGACAUAAGUAACGAUAAAGCGGGUGAAAAGCCCGCUCGCCGGAAGAC
rnacentral:rRNA from 1 species